rnacentral:piRNA from 1 species
ACUACUCCAUUGUUGGUGGGAUUGCAGA